AACUGUAACAGUUCCAGUGUCAGAGGCACUUGUGAUUACUCCCGAUACGUCUGCAGAGCCCAGUCAACCGGCGCUGCAGCCACCAAUUGGACAGAGAGCUCAAAGUCAGCCGGUAACCAGGCCAUCAAGGGUCCCCAGCAUUCCUCCUCCAUAGCUUCCUGGCUAUGACCAUGAUGGAACUGUUCUCACCAGCAGAGGAUCUGGAUGAAGACAGAGCUGGAAUCGAUGGGUCUCUGGCCGGGCUCCAUUCCUGUGCGCAACCCCAUGAAGAUGGUGUCAUUUUGGCGUUUCCCAC